GACAUAGGUGGCAAACGUUAUCCGGAAUUAUUGGGCGUAAAGAGCUCGUAGGCGGUUUGUCGCGUCUGCUGUGAAAUCCCGAGGCUCAACCUCGGGCCUGCAGUGGGUACGGGCAGACUGGAGUGCGGUAGGGGAGAAUGGAAUUCCUGGUGUAGCGGUGGAAUGCGUAGAUAUCGGAAGGAACAUCAGUGGCGAAAGCGGCUUCCUGGACCAGUACCGACGUUCAGGCACGAAAGCGUGGGGAGCAAACAGG
rnacentral:rRNA from 1 species